rnacentral:rRNA from 1 species
GACGAACGCUGGCGGCGUGCUUAACACAUGCAAGUCGAACGAAGUGGCGAACGGGUGAGUAACGCGUAAUCAACCUGCCCUUCAGAGGGGGAUAACUAUUGGAAACGAUAGCUAAUACCGCAUACUAGUAGAUGGACCUGCGUUGUAUUAGCUAGUUGGAGGGGUAACGGCCCACCAAGGCGAUGAUCAGUAGCCGGUCUGAGAGGAUGAACGGCCACAUUGGGACUGAGACACGGCCCAGACUCCUACGGGAGGCAGCAGUGGGGAAUCUUCCGCAAUGGACGAAAGUCUGACGGAGCAACGCCGCGUGAGUGAUGACGGCCUUCGGGUUGUAAAGCUCUGUUAAUCGGGACGCGGUACCGGAAUAGAAAGCCACGGCUAACUCCGUGCCAGCAGCCGCGGUAAUAC